rnacentral:rRNA from 1 species
CAGUCGCCGCGGUAAUACGAAGGGGGCUAGCGUUGUUCGGAAUUACUGGGCGUAAAGCGCACGUAGGCGGAUAUUUAAGUCAGGGGUGAAAUCCCAGAGCUCAACUUUGGAAUUGCCUUUGAUACUGGGUAUCUUGAGUAUGGAAGAGGUUAGUGGAACUCCGAGUGUAGAGGUGAAAUUCGUAGAUAUUCGGAGAAACACCAGUGGCGAAGGCGGCUCACUGGUCCAUUACUGACGCUGAGGUGCGAAAGCGUGGGGAGCAAACAGGAUUAGAUACCCCAGUAGUCCCUGUCUCUUAUAC